CAGCAGCCACGGUAAUACGAAGGUCCCGAGCGUUGUUCGGAAUCACUGGGCGUAAAGGGAGCGUAGGCGGCGUGGUAAGUCAGAUGUGAAAUCCCGGGGCUCAACCCCGGAACUGCAUCCGAUACUGCCAUGCUAGAGGAUUGGAGAGGUAGCUGGAAUUCUUGGUGUAGCAGUGAAAUGCGUGGAGAUCAAGAGGAACACUCGUGGCGAAAGCGAGCUACUGGACAAUAACUGACGCUGAGGCUCGAAGGCCAGGGUAGCGAAAGGGAUUAGAUACCCCUGUAGUCCCUGUCUCUUAUAU
rnacentral:rRNA from 1 species